UGACAAGCGGCACUGAAACAGUGGCCCUGUGGGGGCCGGUGUGAGCGGGACCGCACUGUGCAGGGAACCUCGGCCUGCGUACUUCCAGGCUGGCACUGGGGCUGUAGUGGGCAAGCCAGCAGCUCCCUGCCUGCGCCCAGUGGGUCACAUGCCCCGAGAGGGUCACUUACUUAUUAAUGUCCACGCUAGGACUCUCCUCCAGGUGAGUGAGAGGAAUGGCUAGAUCCUAACGUAACGCACCAUCUUAGAAUGUUAAGAAUUUCACGAUGGCACAGCAGAGUUAAACCGGGCACAGUGGCCUUCUGAGGCGGAGCCUUGUGACUGUACAGGUCACUAGCCCUCUUUGUCCAUCACUCACCCUCUGAAGCCAGGGGCUGCAGAAAGCAGGGAGGGGCUCUGGGGUCUCUGCCUUCCCAGAGCUCAGUCCAGCAAGGCCGAGAGCCAUGGAAGGGACAUCCAGGAGACAGAGGUGGAAGGGCCACUGGACCCAAGGCCCAGGGAGGAGUGUCCGCCAACAACCUAGAAGGGUAGAGGGAAAAUUAUCUUUCCUCCCUACAAAAUCCUACCUCUCCCUUUUGGAGCCCACUCACUCCUAAAUCGUCUGGACCCUCAAGGACAUCCUUAGUCCAAAGUGUGCUCCCUGGAAAGUCUGAGCCACCUUCUUCAGCUGCUGCCUCUCCCCCGACACGGUGACACGGCGGAACACGGUCUCCCGCACCCCAGUCCUGUGGACUCUCAGGCGCUAUCUUCCUGGCAGAGGCUGUAGCGGGGCGCACGCUUCAGACACAGAGUGAUUCUCUUAAUCACCUUCGCUAGCGCUGCCAUCCUUCCCCAAAGAGCAGAAGAAGCAAGCUAGGGGCGCUGGGUCCCGAGACUCCCAGUCGGUUACACAGUCUCCUGGGGAGCCCCACAAACGCACUCAGCUUCUCUUUGUCCCUGGGAAGCAACUUUCCAAGCCUUCCCUGACAGCAAAUUUUAGUCAAUCCUCAAUCAGAUCCUGGGGAACAGGGAGGGGUGGGGGGAGGUGAGUCUCAAACCCUUUCCUCCCCAAGGGCCCUGAGCUUCAAAUGCAAGACGCUUCCCCUCCUCCCCAGCCACCAGCCCUGCAUUCCUAGGGGCCUUGGGAAGAGGUAGCUUUGUCAGGCCACAGAAGGUCCGGUCUGCUCUCCGCCGGGCAGUGGGUGCUCUCUUUGCCACAUUUACAUAACUAAAGAGACCACUCAAAGAAACCUCCCCUUAACAAAGAAAGCCUGUUCUGAGGUGACUUACUCUGUCCACCUAAGCUAAGAAGCAGGGAGGGAAGCUUCUGGAACCCUGUUAUAUACGAUGGUCAAGUGAAGAAAUGGAGGCUCCCAAGAGUAGGGUCCCACAGGUAUCGUGUGACAGGGCACUACUUGAACUCAGGUCUCUGCACCUAACCUCUCACCCACUAACUUCCAUGUGUAUUAGUGGGGUUUUGCCCAAAAGCCCCAAAAGUAGAAAACUGUGAUGUCCCAUGAGUGAUUGGAAAUUGGGUAUUUUGGGUUUGGGGGAGCCCAGCAGUAUUAGCACUGUAAGAAGUCUUUUUUCCAGGUAGUUUUUUAAAAUAUUGUGAAGAAAAACUUUUCUGUUUCAGCGAAACACUAUGCAUUGUUUAAAGCACAACCCCCAGUCUGUCUGCUUCUAGCCCAGUUCAUGGUCUUGGAGCUAUUCUGCACCUUUUUUUAAAAUCACAGGAAGUGGGGGAGGGAUAAAUUGGGAGUUUGGGAUUAACAUAUACACACUACUAUAUAUAAAAUAGAUAAACAACAAGGACAGCACAGGGAAGUAUAUUCAAUUUCUUGUAAUAACCUAUAAUGGAAAAGAAUCUGAAAAAGAAUAUAUGUAUAUAUAGACACACACAAAAAACUAAAUCACUUUGCUGUACACCUGAAACUAACACAACUUUGUAAAUCAACUAUACUUUAACUUUAGAUUUUUUUAAAUAAAAAUUUUUAAGAAAUACAUUGUAAAUAUAAUAAUAAAAAAAUCGCAGGAAGCGAGAGCUUCCAUCAACUUC